rnacentral:rRNA from 1 species
GGACUGGAGUCUGCAACCCGACUCCAUGAAGCUGGAUUCGCUAGUAAUCGCGCAUCAGCCACGGCGCGGUGAAUACGUUCCCGGGCCUUGUACACACCGCCCGUCACACCAUGAGAGUCGGGAACACCCGAAGUCCGUAGCCUAACUUAUCUGAGAGGGCGCGGCCGAAGGUGGGUUCGAUAAUUGGGGUGAAGUCGUAACAAGGUAGC